rnacentral:rRNA from 1 species
GAUGAACGCUGGCGGCGUGCUUAACACAUGCAAGUCGAACGAGAAGUGAAGACGGAAACCUUCGGGCGGAAGGCUUUAUUUCGAGUGGCGGACGGGUGAGUAACGCGUGGGUAACCUGCCUCAUACAGGGGGAUAACAGUUGGAAACGACUGUUAAUACCGCAUAAGACCACAGCACCGCAUGGUGCGGGGGUAAAAACUCCGGUGGUAUGAGAUGGACCCGCGUUCGAUUAGCCAGUUGGCGGGGUAACGGCCCACCAAAGCGACGAUCGAUAGCCGAUCUGAGAGGAUGACCGGCCACAUUGGGACUGAGACACGGCCCAAACUCCUACGGGAGGCAGCAGUGGGGAAUAUUGCACAAGGGGGGAAACCCUGAUGCAGCGACGCCGCGUGAGUGAAGAAGUAUUUCGGUAUGUAAAGCUCUAUCAGCAGGGAAGAAAAUGACGGUACCUGAGGAAGAAGCCCCGGCUAACUACGUG